GACAACUUGUCCGAGUGGUUAAGGAGAUGGCCUGCUAAGCCAUUGUGCUUUGCACGCGCGUGUUCGAAUCACGUAGUUGUCG